rnacentral:rRNA from 1 species
AUUGAACGCUGGCGGCAGGCCUAACACAUGCAAGUCGAGCGAGCGGCGGACAGGUGAGUAAUGUAUGGGGACUGCCCGAUAGAGGGGGAUAACUACUGGAAACGGUGGCUAAUACCGCAUACUAUCGGAUAACCCAUAUGGGAUUAGCUAGUAGGUGGGGUAAAGGCUCACCUAGGCGACGAUCUCUAGCUGUGCUGAGAGGAUGAUCAUCCACAUUGGGACUGGGAAACGGCCCAGAGUCCUACGGAGGCAGCGGUGGGGAAUAUUGCACAAUGGGCGCAGGCCUGAUGCAGCCAUGCCGCGUGUAUGCAGAAGGCCUUAGGGUUGUAAAGUACUUUCAGUCGGGAGGCGUUACCGACAGAAGAAGCACCGGCUAACUCCGUGCCAGCAGCCGCGGUAAUAC